GGGGAAUAUUGCGCAAUGGGGGAAACCCUGACGCAGCGACGCCGUGUGAGGGAAGAAGGCUUUCGGGUCGUAAACCUCUGUCAGGAAGGAAGAACCUCUCAAGGCUGAACAAGCCUUGGGACUGACGGUACUUCCAGAGGAAGCACCGGCUAACUCCGUGCCAGCAGCCGCGGUAAUACGGAGGGUGCAAGCGUUAAUCGGAAUCACUGGGCGUAAAGCGCGCGUAGGCCGUCUUUUAAGUCGGACGUGAAAGCCCUCGGCUCAACCGGGUAACUGCGUUCGAUACUGGGAGACUUGAGUCCUGGAGAGGGUGGCGGAAUUCCGGGUGUAGGAGUGAAAUCCGUAGAUAUCCGGAGGAACACCGGUGGCGAAGGCGGCCACCUGGACAGGUACUGACGCUCAGACGCGAAAGCUAGGGUAGCAAACG
rnacentral:rRNA from 1 species